AACGAACGCUGGCGGCGUGCCUAACACAUGCAAGUCGAACGCGAAAGGGGGCAACCCCCGGUAGCGUGGCAGACGGGUGAGUAACACGUGGGUAACCUACCCGGAGGUGGGGGAUAACCCUUCGAAAGGAGGGCUAAUACCGCAUGACAUCGCGGGGACUUCGGUCCUUGCGACCAAAGCUGGCCUCUGUUUACAAGCUAGCGCCACCGGAUGGGCCCGCGCCCCAUUAGCUAGUUGGUGAGGUAACGGCUCACCAAGGCGACGAUGGGUAGCCGGCCUGAGAGGGCGAUCGGCCACACUGGAACUGCGACACGGUCCAGACUCCUACGGGAGGCAGCAGUGAGGAAUAUUGCGCAAUGGGCGAAAGCCUGACGCAGCGACGCCGCGUGGAGGAUGAAGGUCUUCGGAUUGUAAACUCCUGUCGAGUGGGACGAAUGCCGUGAGGGUGAAUACCCCUCGCGGUUGACGGUACCGCUGGAGGAAGCCCCGGCUAACUCCGUGCCAGCAGCCGCCGUAAUAC
rnacentral:rRNA from 1 species